rnacentral:misc_RNA from 1 species
GAUGAAGAACGCAGCGAAAUGCGAUACGUAAUGUGAAUUGCAGAAUUCAGUGAAUCAUCGAAUCUUUGAACGCAUAUUGCGCUCUCUGGUAUUCCGGAGAGCAUGCUUGUUUGAGUAUCAGUAAACACCUCAACUCCCUUUUCUUUUUUGAAAUUGGAGCUGGACUUGAGUGAUCCCAACGCUUUCUUCCAAGAAAGUGGCGGGUUGCUUGAAAUGCAGGUGCAGCUGAACUUUUCUCUGAGCUAUAAGCAUAUCUAUUUAGUCUGCCUAAAAAACAGAUUAUUACCUUUGCUGCAGCUAACAUAAAGGAGACUAGUUCUUGUGCUGACUGAUGCAGAAUUCACAGAGACAGCUUCGGCUGACUUUGUAAACUCGAUCUCAAAUCAAGUAAGACUACCCGCUGAACUUAAGCAUAUCAAUAAGCGGAGGA